GACAGAGGUGCCAAGCGUUAGGCGGAAUCACUGGGCUUAAAGCGUGUGUAGGUGGACUGGUAAGUACCUUGUGAAAUCCCACGGCUUAACCGUGGAACUGCUUGGUAUACUGCUGGUCUUGAGCAACCUAGGGGCGAGUGGAACAAAUGGUGGAGCGGUGAAAUGCGUAGAUAUCAUUUGGAACGCCAAUGGUGAAAACAACUCGCUGGGGGUUUGCUGACACUGAGACACGAAAGCCAGGGGAGCAAACGGG
rnacentral:rRNA from 1 species